UACGGAGGGUGCGAGCGUUAAUCGGAAUUACUGGGCGUAAAGCGCACGUAGGCGGUCAGGCAAGUCGGGUGUGAAAGCCCUGGGCUCAACCUGGGAAUUGCAUUCGAAACUAUCUGACUCGAGUAUGGGAGAGGGAAGCGGAAUUUCCGGUGUAGCGGUGAAAUGCGUAGAUAUCGUGAGGAAGACCAGUGGCGAAGGCGGGUCUCUGGACA
rnacentral:rRNA from 1 species